UCUUCACCAUUCUUAGUAGAUAAGAAUAAAGCUAAUCCAGAGGAGUGCAGAGCCAAGGGAGGGAAAAGAAAAAAAUGAGUCUCAAUAAUACUAUCUGAAUUCCAGGAUCAAGUCAUCCCUGAAAUCUGAACAUUUCAGGAAAACUAUUGAUUAGGAAACUGUUGUUACGAAAACUCUGACAGACACCAUUGAAAACAUACUGGCUUAUAGUAGUGAAACUUUGAAGCAAACUUUUAAGUUCUGAUUACUCUUAGCCUGGGCUACAUCUCUAUGCACCAGAGAAACUAUCUCAUUAACAAAGUAGUUCUGUGCGUCCUUAAUCCUGAGGCCCUAGACUGCAGCUGGAGGCAGUUCUCUACUGAGCCCGCAGUGCCGAGUGACACAGGCAGGCGACAUCAUCUGAGUACUAACUUCUACUACAUCCAGACAGACUGCGAGAACCAUUUCCAAAUCGUGGGAAGACGUCAGAGAACCAAAGGGGUGGCUGCAAAGUUUUGGACAAGACCUCUACAGGCAACUGGAAGCACAGUGAACCCAGGUGGUGGGGCUCGUCUGUGGCAAUAUAUUUUUCAGUCUGUCCAAUUGAAUAUGGCUGUAAAGGGAAUAAAACCCCAUGUAAUCUCCAGCAGUGACAAUUUAAUCAGUUGUGUAAGGGGAAGAAGCAGAGUCCUCUCAUUUUCAUAUUUGCAUAUUUGAUUUUUGCAUUGGGGAAUAGAGGUUAUGUGUUUCUAUUACUUUCCAUUUGAUUUUAAUAUUUAACCCUUUUAGGAGCAAAUUUCUUCCAAUGGUAGGUAAUAUUGAGUCAAGCUGGUCAAAAAAUAAGAUUUCAUUUUUCAAAUAAAGCUCUGGAUGCAGCAUGCCUUGUGUAACAUUUUUUGCUACAAAGAAUCUAUGUGCCGAACAUGGCUUGUGUGUUCCCAGCUUCUGCACAUUAUGCAUCCCCUCUUAACAUUCAGAAAUCCACCCUGAAAAUGAAGGCAACUAUUUGGAGAACAAUACGAAAUGAUGAGGUAGCCCUAUACCUAUACCAUAAUAUGUCCCCUUUUUUGUAUUUGCAUUUUUUAAAAUGGUAAGUCUUAAUAACUGCUGCUAUUCCUGAGAAAGUAGGGUUUCUAAAAUACCUUAUAUACAGGAAUCCCUUCUUAUGAGGUUAUAGAGAGGCAAUAGAUACAGUUAAAUUAGUAAAAUUCCAUUAUUUUAAAACUCUGUUUUACAACUGACAGAAUGAUGUUAUUAUCUAUAAUAUGGUAACAGAUUAGGGAAUAGAUUUUAAAAUAAAUAAGAUGCAGGUAAUUCAAAGUCAUCAUCAAUUACCCUUGUGUGACUCCCUUGAGUAUAUUAAAAAUCCACUCAAAAUGGUUUUGGAUUUGAAUUGCUGAAACAUAGAUAGCUGUUUGUUCUUCUUUUUUUUUUUUUAAUGCAUCAAUUCAUGUAAACCUCCGAUUGUGAAAGCCCCAGAAGUAUGUUGGGUAAUUAAAAAAAAGAAAAAGCUUAUAUUCUACUUGCUUAAUACUUUACAAUUUCUCUAUAAAAGUGAACUUUGAAGCCAGGCUUUCACUUCAGAGGAAAAAUAUUGAUUUGAUUCCAUGUAAUUUUGCAAAAAGAGAAAAAAAUUUUUUUAAAGUUUGAAAAUUUUCUGUGCAUUAAAUUUAAUCUAUGUA
rnacentral:lncRNA from 1 species